CGAUCUAACCGGCUCAAUUCGGUGGGAACCGAACCGGAGAGCUUGUUGUCGCUGAGGACGAGAGCGUUCAAGAACUUACACUCCACGAUCUGAGUCGGGAUCGGGCCGGAGAGUUUGUUACCGGACAGAUCUAGAGUGACGAGGUAAGGAAGCCACGAGCAGAUUUGGGAAGGAAUCGCGCCGGAGAGAUCGUUCCCGGAGAGAUCUAAAGACUGUAGGCUCCGGCAGAGCUUGAGAGACUCGGGAAUCUGGCCGGCGAGCUGCAUAGAUUGGAGCUGGAGAGAGAUGAUGCGAUUCUCUUUCUCGUUCCAGCAGGAGACGCCGGUGAGCUUGCAAAUCGAUGAGGCUGAGGAGUUCGGGAAGGACCAGGAGGUGAGUCGUGACGAAGGGUCGGUGAGUGACUUCUUUAGGCCUUGGAGACAGAGGACGUCGUCUUCUGCGAAAGAAGAUAGAAACGAGCUGAUGAAGAGGAGCCAUAAGAGAGUCUUCAUAGGUGGAUCUGUGAAGAUGAUGUAUCUCUCUCUCUCUCUCUCUCUCUCUCUAGGGUUUGUUUUUCCUCAGAGAAGUUCGAUGGCGGAAAGAACGCUCAUUGACUGUGUUACUGAUGAAAAAAGGAGACAACUUUUUUUUUUCCUCUGUUUUGUUUGACUAUUUUUUUCUUUUUUUUAGUCAUUUUGCAGAGAUUAUAAUUAUUAAUUUGUUUAUACUAUUUGUUUGUUACUAGCUGGUUUGUUUUGUUUGGGAAAAGCAUCCAGUAACUAAACGACGCCGUUAGAAUAGCAUCUCUGAGAGUCAGAGAGAAGAUUUAAGUCAGUUUGGUAUCAAAUCCUUGAAAAGGAAAGGUAGUUAUUCUUUCUGGGUUGUCAAAAGUACAAAUCAAGAACUUACGACUCUUUCUUGUAAUGAUGAUACGACCAACAUAUCAAAUACUUGUAAUUAAUAUGACUUUAUUGGGAUUUAUUUUUAUUUAAUAUAGGCUGGCUCAUUCAUUACUCACAAGAGUAUAACUUGCAAGUUGAUGGUGAUAGAGAAAAAAAAGGUCAAACUAGAACUAAAAAGAUCCUAUGUUUUGGGCAAUGGGCUUGUAUACCGUUACUAACAUUUCAGCCCAAAAUGUGUUAGGGUUCGCUAGUUUUUUUCUUUCCGGUGACUUGUAGCCUAGGUGGCCGGAAAAGAGAACAGUAAACGAUAUAGCCUGUGGUAUGUUUGGAUAGAAAACCGCUUUUAAAUACCACUACUAUUUUACUUUCAUGAUUGGUAAUCGUCAAAUUGGUAAUAUCCGUUACCACUGCCAUAACGACAAUGAUUAACAUGUUUGGUCUAAAGAUUCCUUCAAGCUUUAUCUUUAUCAUCUUACUGACAACUUUCUUACCGACAAAAAUAUAGUCCAAACAAAAAUCCGAAAGACCUUGGUAAAUAAAUAUUAAUUCAAAAAAUAUUGAAAUUUACAAAUGUGGUAAACUCUAUUAAACAAAACAAAAUUAGAAACCAUUUCAAUUCUCUCCAACAAAAAAAACACAAUUAAAUAACAAAAGAAGUAAUAUUAAUGUAUACUCGUCAAAUGUACAUAAUCUCACAAACCAAGUAACCAAAAAAAAAAGAAGUCAAUCUUGUUGUAGUUGUUGUUGCCUCUGCCACGGCAAAUAACCAGUCACUUGAUCAGCAAAAUUAGACAAAACCAAAUCCUUCAAACCAGUAUCCCACACUUCACAGAACCGUCUGUUCCAAUCAACCGGCUCAAUAGCCUCUGUACCAAGCCCUGGAGCUCGAUCUUUAGACCCUUGGUUCUGAUUCUCUCGCCAGUCCACAACAUAAGUAGCCACUCUCCUCUGAAACUUCGCUUUAAAAGUAUCCCAAACUUGGUACUUGUAAUGGUUCACAACCGCAACACUCUCCAACAAACUCAUAUGCCCUACUCCUUCCCUCAUCUGAAAAUGAUGAACCUCGUUCAGCAACGAGCUUGUUAGCAUCUCUGGUCGGAUUAUCGACUUGUGUCUCUCCGGAUUCGCUUGUCUGCAAGUGUAACCUACCGUCACGCCUUGCGAUGGAACUGUAGUUAGACCGGACGGACCGUAACUAUGACAUUCGGUUCUUAUCUCUCCGACCAAACCCCACGAAGUGUAGUUAGACACAAGAGAGCUUAAAGCGUUUUUGCUAGGUAAGCCUUGAGAGCGAUGCGUGGGGAAGUAGUAGAACUCGUCCACGUCGAAGAACCCGACCCAGUUGCAUUCAUCUUUGGCUCUAACCGCACAAUGCGAGAAACCAGCUUCUUGAGUCUUGAUCCACGGCCAGACGUGUCGGCUCACAUUGUAAUUCUCUGAGUUGAGCAAUUCAAUCUCCUCUUGUAUAUCGUCGUCGCUGUUGUUGUCGUAUAUAAACCAACGCUCGACGCCUAGCCACGAGUGGUACAUAAUCCAUUCACGCAAGAAGGGAGCUUGGUUCCAUAGCAUCGUGCAAACACAAAGCUCAUGCUUCUUCACCUUCACCACACUACUCUUCUCGGAACCGUAGACUCGCGCUACGGAUGGUAAAGCAGGCGUGGAUUUUCCUCUAGGAUCGAUGUGGAUCACGCUCACUCGAAACAUCUCCGGAUUUAGCUUCAAGCUCUCAGGCAAAACACACCUCACAACUUCUUGCGCUGCAGCGAGAGCUUGAGUGACAAACACUUCAACACCUGUCUCGAACUGACAUUUGUAGUAAGAAGGAUCUGACUCCUUGUGAGGUCUUCGAGUCAAUCCUUUGACGAAUACAACCACCGUGUCGCCGUCGAUCACUGCCUCGUAACCAACUUUGGCCCAAUCAUGAACCUUCUUCUCAUCACUCAGCUUCUUCUUCUUCUUCACCAAAUCUCCGUCGAAUUGGAGAUCAAGAGAUGAAGAAUAGUUCAAAGGAGCGUUAGGGCACCGAACAACCGAUCUGAACUCAUCGAAUUCAUCACUAGAGAUCGACGGCAACACCAAAGUCUCUUCCUUUCUUCCUCCGUGAUAAACACAAACUAGUUCCUUCCCACCUCUCCCGAUUCUGGUGGAGAGAAUCAGCAGCACAUGGUCGGGGAAUUGGACUCUGUCUUCGACUCUCAGCGGAGGGAAUCUACCGUGAAACGAACGUUGAAUCGAAUCCAUCGAAGACAAGACGGAGAGAGCAGGGACGCGGAGAGACGGUCUCAGAGAAUCGGAACGGACAGAGAUUCGGUCGGAGGAUAAGAAGAAGAAGAGCAAGACGAAGAAACAGCAAAGGCAUAUCGUUAGAUACCUUAGAGACAAGAACUGUGCUUUAGGUUGAUGCUGAUGCUGUCUGUUCCGAACUUUCCUCUUCUUCCCAUGCUCAUACUCCAACAUCAUCUUCUUCCUCUUCUUUCUUUUUUUUUUCUCCACUAAAUUUAUAUAAAAAUCAAAACUUUUUCUUCUGGGUGGGCGGGGAUAGAGCAGGGUGCUAUAAUAAACUGAUCUGAAGAAGGUUUUAGUCGGGGGAGAAGAGAUCUGGUUUUUGCGCAGGCCGACCAAAGUACCUUGUUCUUCUACUAAAGAAGGAAUAUAUAUAUUUAAUUUAAUGAAUUUCCUUUUCCUUUUCCUUUUCUGAAAUAAUCGUUUUGUGAUAGAGAAAGGAAAAGAAACAAGGAAGACGCGUUUGUGUUGUGAUGAGUCGCGUUAGGCGUCGGCGUUUUGCAAUAAUAUUGGAAAGCCACCGAUUAAUACUAAUGAUUUUCCGAUUACGUCAUUUUCUAAUGGAUUAAUGAUUUUUUGUUGUUUGUUUAGUAAUGAAGGCGAGAAAGAUGCCACUAGUUUUGCGACCUGUGGCCAUCCAAAGAUGCUUACAACGAGGUGGACCAUUAUCGUCUUUUUUAUUUAUGUACUGUAUAUUUAUAAUGUUUUGGGUUUGAAAAAAAGAGGCCUAUGAUUCUCCGACAGUUGUGUUGCGUGGUCUUUUAGUUAAUUGUUUCUCAAUAUUCGCCGGAGGGGAGGACCAACCCUGUUGGUACAAAGCAAGAUUGUGAUUAUAUUAUCAAUUUGAUUCCAGUGUGUGUAUCUACACAAUUGGUCGGUUUGGGUUGAUGAGUUAAAAAUUACAGAGAAAAAUGACAGAAAGGCCGUAUUCUUUUAAAUGACGUUAUAGGAUACUUCCUCCGGAUACGAAUGUACGAUGUUCCAUCUUUUUAUCUUGGAUAUAAAUAUAUGAUGUUUUGAGAUAUAAUUAAUGCAUUUAGUUUUAAAAUUUAAACAGAGGACGAGAGCGUUCAAGAACUUACACUCCACGAUCUGAGUCGGGAUCGGGCCGGAGAGUUUGUUACCGGACAGAUCUAGAGUGACGAGGUAAGGAAGCCACGAGCAGAUUUGGGAAGGAAUCGCGCCGGAGAGAUCGUUCCCGGAGAGAUCUAAAGACUGUAGGCUCCGGCAGAGCUUGAGAGACUCGGGAAUCUGGCCGGCGAGCUGCAUAGAUUGGAGCUGGAGAGAGAU
rnacentral:lncRNA from 1 species